rnacentral:tRNA from 1 species
GGACAGGUGGCCGAGCGGCUAAUGGCAACAGACUGUAAAUCUGUCGCUCUCCGGAGCUACGGAGGUUCGAAUCCUCCCCUGUCCACCA